UGGGGAAUUUUGGACAAUGGGCGAAAGCCUGAUCCAGUAAUGCCGCGUGUGUGAAGAAGGCCUUCGGGUUGUAAAGCACUUUUGUCCGGAAAGAAAUCCUUGGCUCUAAUACAGUCGGGGGAUGACGGUACCGGAAGAAUAAGCACCGGCUAACUACGUGCCAGCAGCCGCGGUAAUACGUAGGGUGCAAGCGUUAAUCGGAAUUACUGGGCGUAAAGCGUGCGCAGGCGGUUUGCUAAGACCGAUGUGAAAUCCCCGGGCUCAACCUGGGAACUGCAUUGGUGACUGGCAGGCUAGAGUAUGGCAGAGGGGGGUAGAAUUCCACGUGUAGCAGUGAAAUGCGUAGAGAUGUGGAGGAAUACCGAUGGCGAAGGCAGCCCCCUGGGCCAAUACUGACGCUCAUGCACGAAAGCGUGGGGAGCAAACAGGAUUAGAUACCCUGGUAGUCCACGCCCUAAACGAUGUCAACUAGUUGUUGGGGACUUCAUUUCCUUAGUAACGUAGCUAACGCGUGAAGUUGACCGCCUGGGGAGUACGGUCGC
rnacentral:rRNA from 1 species